GUAUCAUGGCUCAGGAUGAACGCUAGCGGCAGGCUUAACACAUGCAAGUCGAGGGCAGCAUUUGGUAGCAAUACCUGAGAUGGCGACCGGCGCACGGGUGCGUAACGCGUAUGCAACCUACCCAUAACAGGGGCAUAACACUGAGAAAUCGGUACUAAUUCCCCAUAACAUUCGAAGAGGCAUCUUUUCGGGUUGAAAACUCUGGUGGUUAUGGAUGGGCAUGCGUUGUAUUAG
rnacentral:rRNA from 1 species